CUAGCUGUAAACGAUGGAUACUAGGCGUUGAGAGUAUCGACCCUCUCAGUGUCGUAGCUAACGCGUUAAGUAUCCCGCCUGGGGAGUACGCGCGCAAGCGUGAAACUCAAAGGAAUUGACGGGGGCCCGCACAAGCGGUGGAGUAUGUGGUUUAAUUCGAUGCAACGCGUAAGAACCUUACCAGGGCUUGACAUGUCCGGAACCCUGCCCAAAGGCGGGGGUGCCUACGGGAACCGGAACACAGGUGGUGC
rnacentral:rRNA from 1 species